rnacentral:lncRNA from 1 species
CCCCCCAUCACUAGUUUUGUAUCCAUCUGUCUAACACUACCCCUCUUGGUGUCUCUGUUCCUCCAGGCCACGUUUGCAUGCAGAAAGAGCAGGAUGCUAAAGCACGGGCUGAGUGCCUCACUCUCACCAUACGGGAACACCCCAUCUCGCUCCGACCAGGUUUGUCCCUCCUGCUUACCGUACCAAAGCCAACUCAGCCCAGCUGGGUACAUCCACUGGAUGAAUAUCAUAGAAUUGCCUCAUGACAGAAAGAGGAGAAAAUUAAAUAUAAAGAAAGGUGAUGAUUGAUCAAAUGAAAUCUGUUUUUUUCUUUGUUUUACAGAAUGGCGAGGAGGAGCUUACUUCCUCCAUACCUGUCAUUAUAAGGGGUAAGUAUUAUGCAUUACCUGUGUAUACUAGGGUUAUCUUUGACCCCUGAACUUUGCCACUUGUGUGUUAUUACGGAGGCAGUUGUUCAAACAUUCACUACUCCCAUAGAGAAGUGAUCGGUGCUCCCAAGACACCUGCAGCCCCCAACGAGGCCAACUUGACCGUCAAAGUCCCAGAAGCCAGCGUUGGUCAGAAGAAUCUCAAUGAGAGGGGCAUGGUCAAGAUUACUGGACUUCCUGAAAGCGGCUGCUCCGAGAUUGAUAUCGCAAAGCUGGCCCAGCCCUUCGGUACACCUGUCAAUCCUCCUCAUCACCAAGCCCAGUGAGGCUUUGGUCACCAUGCAGGAUGUGGAGACAGCCCAGGAGAUGGUGAAAGUUUACACCGACAGCCUGUCUGCAUCAAUGACUCUGUUCUGAACAUGAGCCUGCUUCCAAACCUCCUGGUGGACUCAACAGACCGGUAAGAUGCUGUGGCUUGACUGACUGAUCCCUAUUAGGGCCUCAACCGUGCAUCUCUAGCGU